GAUGAAGAACGCAGCGAAAUGCGAUAAGUAAUGUGAAUUGCAGAAUUCAGUGAAUCAUCGAAUCUUUGAACGCACAUUGCGCCCCUUGGUAUUCCGAGGGGCAUGCCUGUUCGAGCGUCAUUACACCACUCAAGCUAUGCUUGGUAUUGGGUGUCGUCCUUAGUUGGGCGCGCCUUAAAGACCUCGGCGAGGCCUCCCCGGCUUUAGGCGUAGUAGAAUUUAUUCGAACGUCUGUCAAAGGAGAGGAACUCUGCCGACUGAAACCUUUAUUUUCACAGGUUGACCUCGGAUCAGGUAGGGAUACCCGCUGAACUUAAGCAUAUCAAUAAGCGGAGGA
rnacentral:misc_RNA from 1 species